rnacentral:rRNA from 1 species
UGGGGAAUAUUGCACAAUGGGCGAAAGCCUGAUGCAGCAACGCCGCGUGAGUGAUGAAGGCCUUCGGGUUGUAAAGCUCUGUCUUCUGGGACGAUAAUGACGGUACCAGAGGAGGAAGCCACGGCUAACUAUGUGCCAGCAGCCGCGGUAAUACGUAGGUGGCAAGCGUUGUCCGGAUUUACUGGGCGUAAAGGAUGCGUAGGCGGAUACUUAAGUCAGAUGUGAAAAUCCCGGGCUUAACUUGGGAACUGCAUUUGAAACUGGGUAUCUAGAGUGCGGGAGAGGAAAGUGGAAUUCCUAGUGUAGCGGUGAAAUGCGUAGAGAUUAGGAAGAACACCAGUGGCGAAGGCGACUUUCUGGACCGUAACUGACGCUGAGGCAUGAAAGCGUGGGGAGCAAACA